rnacentral:rRNA from 1 species
GGAGUUUGAUCCUGGCUCACAGCGAACGCUGGCGGCGUGCUUAACACAUGCAAGUCGAACGCGCAGCAUUCUGUACCAAUACAGGGUGUGGGCGCGUGGCGAACGGGUGCGUAACACGUGGAUAACCUUCCUUGAGGUGGGGAAUAACCCAGUGAAAACUGGGCUAAUACCGCAUAACAUGACGAUGGCAAUGCUGUUGUCUUCAAAGGCGCAAGUCGCCACUAGAGGGAUCCGCGGCCGAUUAGCUUGUUGGCGAGGUAAUGGCUCACCAAGGCAAUGAUCGGUAGCCGGACUGAGAGGUUGGCCGGCCACACUGGAACUGAGACACGGUCCAGACUCCUACGGGAGGCAGCAGUGGGGAAUCUUGCACAAUGGACGAAAGUCUGAUGCAACAACGCCGCGUGGGGGAUGAAGCUUCUCGGAGUGUAAACCCCUUUCGACCCGGAAGAAUGCCCGCAAGGGUUUGACGGUACGGGUAUAAGAAGCCCCGGCUAACUACGUGCCAGCAGCCGCGGUAAUACGUAGGGUGCCAGCGUUGCUCGGAAUUACUGGGCGUAAAGGGUCUGUAGGCGGUGCGGCGAGUCGAUAGUGAAAUCCCUAGGCUUAACCUAGGGGCUGCUAGCGAAACUGCCGUGCUAGAGUGUGAGAGAGGCGAGUGGAAUUACUGGUGUAGCGGUGAAAUGCGUAGAUAUCCGUAUGAACAUCCGAGCGAAAGCGGCUCGAUGGAUCACAACUCACGCUGAGAGACGAAAGCUAGGGGAGCAAGAGGAUUAGAUACCCUGUAGUCUAGCCUUAAUCAUCAGACUUGAGUUUGCCCUGUACCGGCAAGUCCCGUAGCUACGCGUUAAUUCCUGCGCUUGUGGAGUACGUCGCAGGUGUAACUCAUG